GGGUGGAUUCUUUACUGUCUGAGCUACCAGGUUCUACUGAUUUGCCAGAGCAGCUUGCCGAACUCAGGGAAACCCUUACAUCAACUCCCUUAUUGAAGAAUAUGAUAAAGGAUACAGAGGAACAGCCAGAUGAAGAGUUCCACUGGGCGAGGUCUGGGAGAGUCCCAGUGUAGGAGCUUUUGUCCCUGUGGAGCUGAGAGUACAUCAUGAGAAACGCUGAGCUGAAAGAAACACAGCUAGA